GACGAACGCUGGCGGCGUGCCUAAUACAUGCAAGUUGAGCGCUGAAGGUUGGUACUUGUACCAACUGGAUGAGCAGCGAACGGGUGAGUAACGCGUGGGGAAUCUGCCUUUGAGCGGGGGACAACAUUUGGAAACGAAUGCUAAUACCGCAUAAAAACUUUAAACACAAGGUUUAAGUUUGAAAGCUGCAAUUGCAUCACUCAAAGAUGAUCCCGCGUUGUAUUAGCUAGUUGGUGAGGUAAAGGCUCACCAAGGCGGUGAUACAUAGCCGACCUGGGAGGGAGGUCCGCCACCAUGGGACUGGGAAACGGCCCAAAACCCUACGGGAGGCAGCAGGAGGGAAUCUUCGGCAAUGGACGAAAGGCUUGCCGAGCAACGGCGCGGGAGUGAAGGAGGUUUUCGGAUCGUAAAAGUCCGUUGGUAGGGAAGAAAGGUGGGGAGAGUGGAAAGCUCAUCAAGUGACGGUAACUACCCAGAAAGGGACGGCUAACUACGUG
rnacentral:rRNA from 1 species